AUUGAACGCUGGCGGCAUGCCUUACACAUGCAAGUCGAACGGUAACGGGUCCUUCGGGAUGCCGACGAGUGGCGAACGGGUGAGUAGUAUAUCGGAACGUGCCCAGUAGUGGGGGAUAACUGCUCGAAAGAGCAGCUAAUACCGCAUACGACCUGAGGGUGAAAGGGGGGGAUCGCAAGACCUCUCGCUAUUGGAGCGGCCGAUAUCAGAUUAGCUAGUUGGUGGGGUAAAGGCCUACCAAGGCAACGAUCUGUAGUUGGUCUGAGAGGACGACCAGCCACACUGGGACUGAGACACGGCCCAGACUCCUACGGGAGGCAGCAGUGGGGAAUUUUGGACAAUGGGCGCAAGCCUGAUCCAGCAAUGUCGCGUGCAGGAAGAAGGCCUUCGGGUUGUAAACUGCUUUUGUCAGGGAAGAAAUCUUCUGGGCUAAUACCCCGGGAGGAUGACGGUACCUGAAGAAUAAGCACCGGCUAACUACGUGCCAGCCGCCGCCGUAAAAC
rnacentral:rRNA from 1 species